rnacentral:rRNA from 1 species
GUGUACCUACGGGGGGCAGCAGUCGAGAAUCAUUCACAAUGGGGGAAACCCUGAUGGUGCGACGCCGCGUGGGGGAAUGAAGGUCUUCGGAUUGUAAACCCCUGUCAUGUGGGAGCAAAUUAAAAAGAUAGUACCACAAGAGGAAGAGACGGCUAACUCUGUGCCAGCAGUCGCGGUAAUACAGAGGUCUCAAGCGUUGUUCGGAAUCACUGGUCGUAAAGCGUGCGUAGGCUGUUUCGUAUGUCGUGUGUGAAA